GUGCAGACAACCUUCUGGUGGCGCUUGCCUGUGCGUGUAAGCAUGAGCAGACAGGAAAUAGAGGUCAGAGGUUUCUUUGAUGAUGAGGGUGUCUAAGGUGGAAACAUCAAAACAAACACAGGUUAGAUUCAUCACCUUUCAUAGCGGCAGAAGACUGCCUAGACUUUACUACAACAUAUUUUACUGGUUACAGGCACAUUUCUCCAUCGUAGGGCUUCUGUUGAUGAUGAGACACAGGAAAACCAAUGAUGUCUCCCAGUUGCUGGUUCCAGGUGGAAAUGACUUCUUGAAUCUGACGGAAUGACCUGUGGGUUGAUAAAAUCACUUCAUUUAACCUGGAGAACUGCAACUGUGAACAAAAAUUAAGAUGUAUUAAGUGUAUGUGUGUGCGCGUGUGUGUUUUCAAGUUUUAAGAUCAUUUUCAGUUCCAACAUUACAAUAUUAGGCCUCAUUAAAAAUGUAAAUGUGUUUUUAUAUUUUCCCCCUGAAUGUUUUAAUUAACAUAAUUUAACAUGCAUAGUUAAAGAUUUGCGUACUUCAUUGUAAUGCAAUCUUUUUUUGAGUUGUAGCAAAAUGAUGGCCCGAUGUGUAUUUGAAAGGACGAUCUAAGGAAUUCUAAUGGUGUUCUCAGUUUAACAGUGAGGUCGUUGUACUUGUCCCUAAUUUAAGGUCAUUCACAGACCUGCAGGCCAUUGUUGGAACACUAGAUGGAGCUCCUUACCUUGCAAACAAUAGUAUGAUCCCGUUAACGUUCAGCUGUUCUAUUGCCUAUAUUUAUUUACUGUUCAGUACACUUUACAAUAUUCAUUUAAACUUCGCGAUGAUUCUGUUUGCUCAAAUUAUCAUUAUAAUAUAAUUUCUGAUGUCUAGUAGAGACUAUGAGCACUCAGCCUAUUUCUAAACAGUUAGGAUAACAGACAGUCUCUUG